rnacentral:lncRNA from 1 species
CAGCACUGUGGUUGGUCAUCUUUGUGCAAGUGGUAGUGUCAUAAUGCAUUUUCAUUGUGUUCAGUUUGGUAUUCAUCUGCAAAAUCCCAUAAUAUAGCAAAAACUCUGUGAUACAGAAUUAGAUAUAUUUAACAACAACAAAAAACACAAUACAAUGAAGUUGCAAUAAGUGAAUCAUGAUAUAGCGAGGGACGACUGUACCCCACCAUAUCUACUGUUCUCCAAACUCAGUAUGGUAUUUCAUCCUUUUGUAUGAGCUUUAGUGAAUUCCUGGAAUAUUCUCCCAACUCACCAAUGCCUCUCAAAAUACUUCAUUUCCUUCAGGUUUCCAUCUCCAAAGAGAAACUUUUGUUACUCCCUGUAAAUGUGGAAGAACCAGUGACGGGAAUUUCUCUCAUUCUCACCAAUCUGGAAGAACUAGUUACUAAGAUGGAGAUGAUGGUAACUCUGAUUGGGGAGAGGGGGUUAAGAAGUGGGAAUGUGUAUGAAAGUGAUUAACUUCAUAUUCGAUUUUGUGAUGAAAACUAUGCAUAGUCUGACAUGCACCUUUGAUUUGGGGAGAGUAAAUUUCAAAAAGUUCAGAGAAAGAAUACACAAAAUCAGCCUAAAAUUCUACUGGGUAAAUCAAUCUAAGAGGUGUUUGGUAACCUUGCAAAGACAAAACAUUCUGAUAUAGAAGGAGGAGGAGAAAGGAUGUCUAGAGACCAACACUGAUACUCAGGAAACACAGCAAGCAUGUGAGAUGUAUAUGUAUAUGUACAAGUCACAGCAUACUUGUGAAAUAUUAAAAAUAAAGACACCUCCCCAAAAAGUCUGUUUAAAAAA